rnacentral:rRNA from 1 species
CCUACGGGAGGCAGCAGUGGGGAAUAUUGGGCAAUGGAGGAAACUCUGACCCAGCGACGCCGCGUGCGGGAUGAAGGCCUUCGGGUUGUAAACCGCUUUCAGUAGGGAAGAAGCGAAAGUGACGGUACCUACAGAAGAAGCACCGGCUAACUAUGUGCCAGCAGCCGCGGUAAUACAUAGGGUGCAAGCGUUGUCCGGAAUUAUUGGGCGUAAAGAGCUCGUAGGUGGUUCGUCACGUCGGAUGUGAAAAUCUGGGGCUCAACCCCAGACCUGCAUUCGAUACGGGCGAUCUAGAGUGUGGUAGGGGAGACUGGAAUUCCUGGUGUAGCGGUGGAAUGCGCAGAUAUCAGGAGGAACACCAAUGGCGAAGGCAGGUCUCUGGGCCAUUACUGACACUGAGGAGCGAAAGCGUGGGGAGCGAACAGGAUUAGAUACCCUGGUAGUCCACGCCGUAAACGGUGGGCACUAGUUGUGGGAACCUUCCACGGUUUCUGCGACGCAGCUAACGCAUUAAGUGCCCCGCCUGGGAGUACGAUCGCAAGAUUAAACUUAAAGAAUUGACGG